GCCACCCACCCCAUCGAGAGAACCCAAAGCCCAUAAUCUAACUCAGACACUCUUUCUCUCUGCGUUUACCUUUACCCUUACCUUGCUUUUUCUCGAUUUAGGGCUUUCUCUCUCUAACAACCCACCACCACUCGCCGCCUCUCUCUCUCUCUCUCAUCGCUUAGCUGAAAAUCUCAAUCCCUGGCUACAAAACCCUUUUUGUCUUCUCGCAUGGUAGACCGACGAUUUUUCCUUAUUUUUUAGGGUUUCGCUCUUCGAUUUCUAGGGUUUUGAUUCUCAGCCCUACUUCUCUAAUCCGAGUGAAUUUCGAGCUGAAUAGCACGAAUACAUCCAAGGUCUGCAAGUAUUUCCUUUUUCUUUCACUGAUUUAAUUGUAUCGUUUUUUUUUUUUUUGGUUCUCCUAUUGUUUUUUGGAUCUCGCUUUGUUUCGAUUUAGGGUUAAGCCUUUGUAAUUUCUUUUUGUGCUUUUUUUUUUUUGAAAAAAGGGUCAGGCGAAUUUUAUGUGUUUGAUUUUCUGAUUUUGGGUUGGAGUUUCUAUAGAAAAUUGAAUUGGGGUUAGGGUUUAUUGUUUUGAAAAAAAAUUAAAAAAAAUUGUUUGGAGUUAGAUUUUGAGAUUUAUAUAUAUACAAAAAAGAAAAAAAAUAUAUGGCGGCUGGGAGGCAUGGGGGUUAUCGCGAGAAUGAGUUCAGGGACCGCGAGUCCAACUUUGAUUUGUCGAGGAGGGAUUUUGCUAAUGGCAAGGAAGAUUAUGAUCGGGUUAGGAGUAGUAAUGGUAGUCGUGAAUAUAAAAGGGGUCGAGGUCGGGGGGAUAUAAGAGACAAGGGUAGGGUUAGGCAGAAGGAUAUUAAGGAGAGGAAAGUGGUGAAUGGUGGGUAUCGAUCAGCUUCCAGUAAGAGUGAUUCGGGCAGUAGUGGUGGUGGUGGUGGUGGUAUUGGUGGGCCCAGGCGAUGUGGGCUUGCGGCUAGGACUGUUGAUAGGGAACCAGGUGAGUUGUCAAGUGAGUCUGAUGAUGCUAUUGAAUCCGAAUCGCAGGUUAAGGAUGCCAGUGUAUCGAAACUGAUGGAGAAUGGGGGUCAGUCUCCACCUCCGCAGAGGAAGAGGAAGUUUUCGCCUAUAAUUUGGGAUAGAGAUGAGAAGGAGGUCAAUAAUUUGUCAAGAAGUAGGGCGUCCACGACAGUGGCAGCAGCCCUUCCUCCUCCCCCGCCAUUGCCUAAGGCAUACCGUCAGUCACCUAAUGUUGUUCCAGAUGGUGGUGUACAAAUUUCUCCUGUUAAGAGUACUAAAGAUGAGAGUGUGGAGCAAUCUUCAUCGUCAUUUGAACCUCCUUUGGCACCUGGAUCAGGGGGGCGUGCUUUGUCCGAGUCUCCAGUAGAAUUGUCUCCUGGGUCGCCAAAGCAGCGGUGGGGUAAUGAUCUCGAAGCAGAGCAAAUAGAAGAUGAUGAUUAUGUUCCAACCCGGAACAUUUCGUCUUCAAGAUGGGCAGCUGGGAAUAACUCUCCGGUUGAUGAAGGUGAAAUUGUAGAUGAUGAGGAAAUGCCUAGAAGGAGAAGGAAAUUGCCUCCGUCGGAGUCACUGGAGGCUGGAGUACACAACAAGUCUUUGAGUCCAGAGCUUGGGGAGCUCAGGAGAGAAGGCUCUGAAAGAUCUGCAGCUAAAUCAUCUGAAUCUGAUGAACUAGUUGCCCGUGCUAGGUCUUUGAGUGGGGAUGAUUACACUGGUAAUAAUUUAGACAAGGAUGACUACAUGGAGAUUGAUGAGGAACGUAAUAAAAAUUAUAGUAGUGUUAGCCAGUCAGAUACAGAUUCUGGGGAUGACGAUGAUUCUCAAGGGACACCUGAACUCUCUCCUUCAGCCCUUCCCCAAAGAAGCUUAAACAUGCUUCAGGGUUGUAGAAGCGUUGAUGAGUUUGAGAGACUAAACAGAAUAGAUGAAGGCACCUAUGGAGUUGUAUAUAGAGCUAGAGAUAAGAAGACGGGGGAAAUUGUGGCAUUGAAGAAAGUAAAAAUGGAGAAGGAAAAAGAAGGUUUUCCAAUGACAUCUCUGAGAGAAAUAAACAUUCUCCUUUCUCUUCAUAACCCAUCAAUUGUAGAUGUUAAAGAGGUGGUGGUGGGGAGUAGCCUUGAUAGCAUUUUUAUGGUGAUGGAGUACAUGGAACAUGAUCUCAAAGGGCUCAUGGAAACAAUGAAGCAGCCGUUUAGUCAGAGUGAAGUGAAAUGCCUAAUGCUCCAGCUUUUGGAGGGUGUUAAGUAUCUUCAUGAUAACUGGGUGCUUCAUCGGGAUUUGAAGACAUCAAAUCUGCUUUUGAAUAAUCGGGGUGACUUGAAGAUUUGUGAUUUUGGGUUGGCACGACAAUAUGGGAGUCCAUUGAAACCAUAUACUCAUUUGGUGGUUACCCUUUGGUACAGGGCACCUGAACUUCUGCUGGGAGCAAAACUAUAUUCCACAGCAAUUGACAUGUGGUCACUGGGUUGCAUCAUGGCUGAAUUACUAUCAAAGGAACCAUUGUUCAAUGGGAAGACUGAAUUUGAUCAACUUGACAAGAUUUUUAGGAUUCUUGGCACACCAAAUGAGACAAUUUGGCCUGGGUUUUCCAAGCUCCCUGGGGUCAAGGUCAACUUUGUUAAGCAUCAGUAUAACCUAUUGCGGAAGAAAUUCCCAGCUACAUCAUUCACUGGAUCACCAGUUCUUUCCGAUUCUGGAUUUGACUUGUUAAACAAACUUUUAACUUAUGACCCUGAGAAGCGGAUUACAGCUGAAGCUGCUCUUAAUCAUGACUGGUUUCGUGAAGUUCCUCUACCCAAGUCCAAAGAGUUUAUGCCAACUUUUCCCGCUCAACAUGCUCAAGACAGGCGUACGCGUAGAAUAAUGAAGAGUCCCGAUCCUUUAGAAGAGCAGCGUAGAAAGGAGUUGCAGCAAGGGCAUUUAGGGACUGGUGGUGUGCUUGGCUAAAGAGCAAUGGAUCUCUGAAGUGGCCAUGAUCUUCAUACUUUUGUUUUGUACAACACUAACUAGUGAUAUGGUUGAGGUGAGAGACCUGCAUUGAAAUGAAGUUCCAAACACUGAUUUGUCAGAAGAUCAAUCGUGCUGUUUUUUUAGCAGGCACUAUUCAGUGAUUUGGGUGGAAACUAUUUUUUUGCCUCUUCCUGUCAACCGGAGUCAUUGCAGGUUAACUUUGUUCUCCAGCUUUGGUCAACGUAGCUUGCAUUGCCAGAGACGGUUGGUUGGUGUGAAGUGGAGGGGAUGCUCUUUGCUUUCCAUUGACGAAGAAAUUGACAGUAACCAUAAUACUUCAGAGUAUCAAAGCAAGCAGGUUGAGGAGGUUUUCUGGGAUUUAUAGAACUUCAAUUAGUUGUCCCUUCUGGCUCGCUGGAGGCACUGCUGGAAGAGUGGGCUGCCUGGAGACGGGAAAAUUAUGAAAGUGUCCACUUUCCAUGCUAAACCAUAAUGGAGAUUCAGUAGAUGUAAGCAGUAUAGAAAAAUUAAUUUUUUUGUCAUGUGCAUUGUAAUAGUUGUGUCCAAUGGCAAUGAGGUUAAAGCUAUAUAUUCGCCAGGAAAAUUUGCAUGUUUUGCAACUCAUUUUGUAUUCACAUUAAGUGGAGUCUUCUUGUGGUUGCUCCCUUUGCUCCUAUCAGCCUGUCAGAUUGGUCGGUGAUGCUACCACAGCUGUGUAACGACCUUCUGAAUUGUCGACAUCAAGAAUCUAGUUUUGGUGACUGGAUGGUUAUUGGUUAGCUGAGGUGAUUGUUACUAACCUUUGCUUUCUCUGUUGGGCCAAUUAAAAAUGUCGUAAUGUACUAAUUCAGGAUGGGGCUUGGGCUGAGAAUGCUUCUAACAUACCCCCGAGUUAAAAAAGCUUGACCUCACGAAGUUAAUGUUAUAUUGAAUUUAUCAAUGGAAUUGCUGACACACCUAUUACUUAGAUGAUGUUAAGAGCGAGAAGGACCUGACUGCUUGGGAAUCUCCUUUGUAAGUCAAUGAUGCGUAAUAUUCAUGGUUGUGUAUUUGAUUUUAUAAGUGUUGACCUGCUGCACUUAUUUUGUUUUUGUCACAAUGUGACCAAAUAUAGAUACAGGCCUUUAGAUUCUGUGGUGGGUUCAGGCAAUGUAGCUAUAUUUGCUUGAUCUACUUCCUUGAUAUUUGGCUGGUCUUUCUAAAUAAUCUUUUCAAUGAAUUAUCCAUAAUUUUUGUGUCAA